rnacentral:lncRNA from 1 species
UAUGUGAUCAUGAGCUUGUGGGUGAUGUCCUCAGUCUAUCCUGAGUCAUUCAGAGAAGGUUCAGUUGGAAGGAACUCAUGGUCUAUGUGUACUACAUAGAAUCAAAUCCUCUUCUUCCCCUGAACACAGAGAGUGAUUGUGGUGAGUGAAAAUUGAGUCCACGUGGACUGGAGGAGUUGGGCAGGUUUUACAGAGUGGGGGUUGUGUAAGACAGACAGGAUGAGAAGACAGCUCAGGGCAUCAUGUAUGGAAUGAACUGGAAAAAGAUUGGAGACAGAGAAACUGCUGCAUUACAGGGUAGCAGGGAUGCA